rnacentral:lncRNA from 1 species
AAUUUGUUGAUCUCAGCAAAGCAGUCUUCUAUUUAUAGGCUUCCACUCACAUGUCUCACACCAGCCCAUGUAGGUGGCCUGCAAUGGCCCAUGUGAGGUCCUUAUGACCUCACUGAGAAUUAAGGGACGUGUUUAUCUGAGAGGAAGAAUUCUGUUAGAAGGUCCAGGUAGUGUCCUAACAGGAUCACUUGGACCGUUAUAACAGAUUCCGAGAAAUGCGGGCUUCUCUCUCAUAUUAGACUGUCCAAGGCAAUGCAUCGCGAUAUUUCCAACCACGGUGCACUGGCAAACUUUUCCGUCCUUACCUCCAAUCCACAUGCUCUUAGAUCCCUCGGAGGAGAUCACGUGAUGGUCUGUCCAAGGCCUGCCUCCUGGACUUGUUCUGUACCAUGCUUGAUCAAGGGGUACUGCAGCCCAUUGGCCUUCAAUUGAGUUGUCAUUGCUCAGUGGCCUUAAGUUGACUUUUCAUCAUCACCCCUUUUAUGGUUCUAUAAUAUUUUUCUUUAUACGGUCCUCAUAGAAUACUUCGUCAGUUGUUGGUUCUAUUUCUAUAAACUAACUUCUUACCAUUCCUUCUCAUAACCUAGACCUGCUCAUCAUUUGAACCUCCUCAUGUCCCUAAUUGAAUAUUUAUAAAUCUAUCUUUCUCAUGAAUUUAAACUAUCUCAUCAUGAUUUAGUUGUUCUCCUGAGCUUCACUCAGUCCUAGUUAUUGGGACUGCAAUGAGUUUUUGUCAUUUGGUCCUCUUGACCUUGUAGUGAUACUUCAACUUAUGGUCCAAGUAAUCACCCCAAAAUUUAAUUUUUAUUGCUCGUCCACCUCAUGAUUUCGGCAGUCAUAAUGUGUUCCUAUGAGCGACUCUAAAUUGGCUAGUUCUCUUCCGUCCUUGUGACCCUAAUUUGAUUCUUUAUAAUACAGUAUAUUUCAUGACUCUAAAAUGACACUUAUCACUUGAUGAUCCAUAUGACCAUAACCUUAUUCUUCAUCCUUCGGUUUUUCUUAUGAUUGUAAACUUACUAGUUACUCCUAAUCAUUCAAUGCUUACCGUGUCCGCAAAGUGAAUUGUGAUCUCUUAAACUAACUUUUCAUUAUUCGGUCCUUUUUAUAACCCUAAAUUGACCUUUUGUUGUGUGGCUCUCUUGAUGAACCUAAAGUGAAUCUUUAUGGCUUGGUGUUCUUAUGACCUUAAAUGGACUCUUCAUCAGUCUCAUUUAGUCCUCGCGAUUCUAAUUGUACUCUUCUUGUUUCUCUCUUCCUCGUCGAGUAAAUGACCUUUCCUCAUUUGGCCUCAUCAUCAUAUAAAGCUAAUUGUGCAAAAUUUUCUGUUCCUCACAAACAUUAAGUUAAUGAUCAUCAUUGAUUCCUCUCAUGACCUUAAACUAAACUCCUCAUCAUUUUGUACUCCUCGUGACUAAAAUUGGCUUUUUACAUUUAUGUGCACCUAAUGAUGAUAAACUAACUAUUUAUCGUUUGUUCAUCCUCGUGACCCUAAACUAGCUCCUCAGUAUAGGUCCUCAUCAAGAAACUAAACUUACAUUUCAUCUUUUGGUCUUCACGUGACCCCAAUCUUUCAUGUUUCGUGCACCUUACAAAUCUAACUUAUUGUUCAUUAGUUGACUCUUCACAUGAUAUUAAAUUGAAUUUUAACCAUUAGAUCCUCAUGUCUCUGAGGUGACUCUCCAUGAUCAAACCUUAUUAUGAUACGAUAUGGAGGCGUCACUGUUUGGUCCUCUACGUGACACGAAACUGACUUUUCAUCAUUCCGUUUGCUUCAAGCCCCUAAAUAGACAACUUAUUAUCGGGUCAUACGCAUAACCAUAAAUUGACCCUCCAUCGCCAUCGGUCCUUCGACUCCUUCUCAUGACCUCAUGACCUUGAAGACUCUUUUGUAUUAAGCCCUUGCUAUGACCUUACAUUGACACCUCAUCACUUGUCUACCUCAUAACCCUACAUGGACACUUAGUCAUUUGGUUCUUAUUAACUUACACCAGCUCUUCAUUAUGUGUUUCUCGUGAGUCGUGACCCUAAACUAAAUUUUUUGUUUAGUAUUCUCAUGAUCCUAAAGGAAAUCUUCAUAGUGGGAUCCUUGUUAUGAUUUUAAAUUAACAGUUUAGUCUUUAUAUUGAAUUUUCAUAAUUUGAGCCUCAAUAUUCUAAAGCAAGUCUUCAUUAUUUUGUUCUUCUCAUUAUUCUAAAGCAAGCACUCCUCAUGAUCCUUAAUUAACUGUUCAUCGUGUGGUCCUCUUCAUGACCUGAAACUGACUCUCCAUUGUUUUGUCCUCGUAACCCGAAAUUAAUUAUGCAUCAUUUGGUCUUUCUCUUUACCCUAAAGGACUCUUCAGACUCUUUAUCUAUACCGCUCGGCCCUCCUUAUGACUUUAAAUUGACUCUUCAUGAUCGGUCCUCUUUAUGACCUUAUAUUGACUCUUUAUAGUUUGUCCUUCCAUGACCCCAAAAUAACUAUGAACCAUGUGAUCCUCCUCAUGACCGUAGUUUUCUAC